rnacentral:rRNA from 1 species
ACUCCUACGGGAGGCAGCAGUGGGGAAUAUUGCGCAAUGGGCGGAAGCCUGACGCAGCGACGCCGCGUGGGGGAUGACGGCCUUCGGGUUGUAAACCUCUUUCAGCAGGGACGAAGCGGAAGUGACGGUACCUGCAGAAGAAGCACCGGCCAACUACGUGCCAGCAGCCGCGGUAAUACGUAGGGUGCAAGCGUUGUCCGGAAUUAUUGGGCGUAAAGAGCUCGUAGGCGGUUUGUUGCGUCGGCUGUGAAAUCCCGAGGCUCAACCUCGGGUCUGCAGUCGAUACGAGCAAACUAGAGUGUUGCAGGGGAGACUGGAAUUCCUGGUGUAGCGGUGAAAUGCGCAGAUAUCAGGAGGAACACCGGUGGCGAAGGCGGGUCUCUGGGCAACAACUGACGCUGAGGAGCGAAAGCGUGGGGAGCGAACAGGAUUAGAUACCCUGGUAGUCCACGCCGUAAACGUUGGGCGCUAGGUGUGGGGCUCAUUCCACGAGUUCCGUGCCGCAGCUAACGCAUUAAGCGCCCCGCCUGGGGAGUACGGCCGCAAGGCUAAAACUCAAAGAAAUUGACGGGGGCCCGCACAAGCGGCGGAGCAUGUUGCUUAAUUCGAUGCAACGCGAAGAACCUUACCUAGGCUUGACAUGCACGGAAAUCUCCCAGAGAUGGGGGGUCCGUAAGGGCCGUGCACAGGUGGUGCAUGGUUGUCGUCAGCUCGUGUCGUGAGAUGUUGGGUUAAGUCCCGCAACGAGCGCAACCCUCGUUCUAUGUUGCCAGCACGUCAUGGUGGGGACUCAUAGGAGACUGCCGGGGUCAACUCGGAGGAAGGUGGGGAUGACGUCAAAUCAUCAUGCCCCUUAUGUCUAGGGCUGCAAACAUGCUACAAUGGCCGGUACAAAGGGCUGCGAUACCGCGAGGUGGAGCGAAUCCCAAAAAGCCGGUCUCAGUUCGGAUUGGGGUCUGCGACUCGACCCCAUGAAGUUGGAAUCGC